rnacentral:rRNA from 1 species
UGGGGCUACACACGUCAUACAAUGGCCGGUACAAAGGGCAGCCAACCCGCAGGGGGAGCCAAUCCCAUAAAGCCGGUCGUAGUCCGGAUCGCAGUCUGCAACUCGACUGCGUGAAGUCGGAAUCGCUAGUAAUCGUGGAAUCAGCAUGUCACGGUGAAUACGUUCCCGGGUCUU